rnacentral:rRNA from 1 species
CCCUUAGAUGUUCUGGGCUGCACGCGCGCUACACUGACACUAUCAACGAGUGCUCCUGGUUUGAAAGGAUCGGGUAAUCUUUUGAAAUGGUGUCGUGAUGGGGAUAGAUCAUUGCAAUUAUUGAUCUUGAACGAGGAAUUCCUAGUAAAUGUGAGUCAUCGGCUCACGUUGAUUACGUCCCUGCCCUUUGUACACACCGCCCGUCGCUCCUACCGAUUGAGUGAACCGAUGAGUAGUCCGGAUUGCGAUCGACCUCGGUUAAUCGCGAGAAGUUCCGCAAAUCACUUCACUUAGAGGAAGGAGAAGUCGUAACA